UACAGAGGAGCCAAGCGUUGUCCGGAUUGACUGGGCGUAAAGCGCACGCAGGCGGACGCGCGCGUGGGGUGUGAAAUCUGGCCGCUUAACGGCCAGGCGCCAUCCCAUACGGCGCGUCUGGAGUGAUGCAGAGGUCGAUGGAAUUCCCAGUGUAGAGGUGAAAUUCGUAGAUAUUGGGAAGAACACCGGUGGCGAAGGCGGCAACCUGGUCCUUGACUGACGCUGAGGCGCGAAAGCGUGGGGAGCAAACAGG
rnacentral:rRNA from 1 species